UUUAAUGGCUGCAGUAAUUUGACUGUACAAAGGUAGCAUAAUAAAUAGUUUUUUAAUUAAAAGCUUGUAUGAAUGGUUGGACGAAAUAGAAUCUGUCUAUUAUUUAAUUUAAUAUAAAAUUUAAUUUUUAAGUUAAAAAGCUUAAAUUUGUAUAAAAGACGAGAAGACCCUAUAGAGUUUAAUAUUUUAUUUAAUAUAAUUAAUAUAGUUGUAUUUAUUUUAUAUUAUUUUUAAUAUUUUAUUGGGGUAAUAUAAAGAUUAAAAUAAUUCUUUUAUAUAUUUAUAUUUAUUUAUAAAUUAUUUGAUCCAUUAUUAUUGAUUAAGAGAUUAAAUUACCUUAGGGAUAACAGCGUAAUUUUUUUAAAGAGUUCAUAUCGAUAAAAAAGUUUGCGACCUCGAUGUUGGAUUAAAGAUUAAUUUAGGUGCAAAAGUUUAAAUUUUUGGUCUGUUCGACCAUUAAAUCUUUACAUGAUCUGAGUUCAGACCGGUGUGAGCCAGGUCGGUUUCUAUCUUUAUUUAAUUUUGAUAUUUUAGUACGAAAGGACCAAAUAUUUAUUAUAAUAAUUUAUUUAUUGAAUAUUAUU
rnacentral:rRNA from 1 species